CAAGUACACACGCCGCAGCCGAACCCUAGCCACCCCUCCACCUCUUCUCUCUCAAAGCGGCGGCGGCGGAGGCCGCUGCAGCUCCUGCUAAGAUGUCGGGCGGCUUCUUCCGGGGGACGUCGGCCGAUCAGGACACCCGUUUCUCCAACAAGCAGGCGAAGUUGCUGAAGACGCAGAAGUUCGCGCCCGAGCUUGAACACCUGGUGGACAUGACGAAGGUGAAGAUGGACGUGAUGAAGCCAUGGAUCGCGACCCGGGUUACCGAGCUCCUAGGGUUCGAGGACGAAGUGCUUAUCAACUUCAUCUACGGUCUCCUCGAAGAGAAGGAGGCGGAUGGAAAGAAGAUACAGAUACAGCUGACAGGAUUCAUGGAGAAGAACACGGUGAAGUUCAUGAAGGAGCUGUGGAGCCUCCUGCUCAGUGCACAGCAGAAUGCCAGUGGGGUGCCCCAACAGUUUUUAGAUGCAAAGGAGGCUGAGAUUCAGCAGAAAAAGGCGGAGGAAAGUAGAAUUGCUCAGGAGAUCCAGAAGAAACGGGAGAAAGAUGGAAGGGACCAAGAACUAGAGAAUCAAAAAUUGAUGGACGGGGAUGCUGGUAACUCGAGAUUGGGUCCUGAUUGUGCUGAUGCUGAGGAGGAAAAAGAAUUGAACUCUAAGCAUAGCUCAAGAACAAAGAGCCGGGAAAGCCACAGGUCCAGGAGCAUCUCCUUGUCGCCCCGUGGUAGGCGGAGAUCUAUUUCUCCCAGGAGGCGUUCCCCAUCUCCUUCCAGGCAUUCCAUUUCUUUUGAGAGAACACAAAGAUCUUCAAGACGUUCAAUAUCACCUAGACGUUCUUUUUCUCCACGAAGGCGUUCUCCAAGAAGUACCCCUUCAGUCUCCAGGCGAAGGUCCCCAUAUUCCAGAAGAUCACCGUCAGUACCAAGAUAUCGAUCACCGUCACCUCGUCGUAGGCAUCAUAUUCGGAGGAAAUCUCCGCCUUUUGGGCGUCGGAGGUCACCAUCUCCCCAUCAUCGUCAGUCUCCAGGUCGUGGACCAAGAUCACCAUCCCCUGCACGCCACAGAUCUUCUCGUCGUAGGUUAUCUCAAGACAAACACCGGUCUCCAUCUCCAGGAAGACGUAGGCCUCGGCCCCCUUCACCAGGAAGGCGUAGGCCACGGUCGCCUUCACCAGGAAGACGUAUGCCACGGUCUCCAUCUCCCAGGAGACACAGACCACGGUCACGAUCUCCAGGAAGACAGCGAUCACCCUCUCCUCACCGCUCUCCACGCUUGAGAUCUCCAAAACGACGGAGGAGAUCCCCGGUUUCGCCCAGAAGUCGUUGUGCAAACCAUCGAGCCUCUCCACAACGAAUGAGGAGCUCGAGUAGAGACAUUGAGAAAGGAACAAAUGGUGUUCCAUCCCGUAAUGAUGUAGAUGUGCUUCAAAGGAACAAAGAAAGAUCACGUGAUGACAACAGGAAUGAUACAGAAGUGAGUGAUCAUUUUUCAUCAGAUUCUGAGCAACGUAAGUUGACAAAAUCCACAAGUUCUCCAAACAAGCCAGAAAGGAACUCAGCACGUGAUAGUUCUGUGAAGAGGACUGAGAAGCACUUACCCAGUCAGGGCAUCACAGAUACUAGUGGGGAAGAGGAGGACAGUCGUGCAAGAGAGAAUGUACGAAAAGCAAAUUCAUCACACAGAAAAGUUAAAGAUUUCUCGGCAGAUCUGCAACUAAUGGAAGCCCAUGAUGAUUUGAGCCAUGGAGAAAAAUCUCCAUCUAGAUUCCAACAGAGUGGCAAGGAAACAUCGAAGAAACUGAACAAUCAACUAUCAGAAUCAUCAGAAGAUGAGCGUGAUGGUAGAAGGAAACAAAUGGAUGAUUCUCCCGAUGAUUCCCAUAUGAAACAGCAUUCUCCUAGUAGAGCUGGAAUGCACAACUCUUAUUCAAAGGAUGCCAUGAACAAUGAGUAUGCAACAAAAGGUUCUCGUGAUGGUAUUUCUGCUAAGAAGUAUCCUGCUAAAGUUGAUGAAGAUCCUGAGUCAGAAGAUGGAAGUUCUUUCAAGAAAGAUAAGAGAAAAGUACAUGGUAAUAGCCACAUUGAUUCUGGAAGUUCUGGGUCAGAAGAAUCAGGGAAGCAUAGAUCCCAUGCUGAGAAGAGAAAGCAUAAAAAGACCCGUAAACAUAAGAGACAUUAUGAUGAUAGUUCUGAUGAAUCUGAUUCGGAGUCAGAUGACAAGGAGUCCAAGCGGAGGAGGAAAGAAGAGAAGAGGUUGCGAAAAGAGGAAAGACGGCGUAGACGUGAAGAGCGGCACCGUAGAAGGGCAGACCGCCAUGCCAGCAAACUAAAACUGAAGCAUGCUGAAACUGUCGAUAUGGAUUCAGAUGCAGAGAAGGACCAUGAUUCUGACUCAGAUGCUGAUGUUAGGAAGAAAGGUUUAUAUACUGGCAAGGAAGAAUCAGAUCAGCAGAAACUUGAAAUUGAGCUUCGUGAGAAGGCACUGGAAUCUCUUAGAGCAAAGAAAGCCAUCAACCACUAGGCUGAGAAAUCUCUUGCUAUGCAUUUACAUCUUUUUAAAACUCUCUUUUGCUUAUACCAUGUUCUAGAAGUGUGCUUAUAUGACUCCUAUUUAAUGUUCUGUAUGUUUACGUGGCAGUUAACCUGAGUAAUUGACGAUUCCUGAGCUGUUUGCUUGAUGCAGCUGUAUUCAGGCUUAGCUGCUAGUUAUCUGAUUAGCACAAUGUGAACGAGCUUUUUAUGUUCCUCAGGGUGAUUUAAUCCACACCUGACACCUCAGCAACAACCAAGUUGGUAACCUCUUUGAUUAUUGUGAAAAGUCUCGUAGAGUACUCCAGUUCAAUGUUUGGUUUCUGUUGCUUAGAUUGAGGUUUGUGAAAUGUUUGUUCUAUUCAUGACUAGGUUCUGAUCAAGUAACGAAACAAUGUAAAUAUUUCUCUGAUGCUUUCUUAUUGUACAAUGCCGUUGAGACCAGACGGAAUGGAACACCCAUAAUCAAAUGUACACUGUCGAGUGAACAUGUGAUUUCCCCUUCUAUUUUUGUAGUUUCAGCCUGAAACAAAUCGUUAGUACCUGAGUUGCAAAUAUUAUAUUCACAUUUCAUGUUUUACCUGUAAAAAAUGAUAA